ACGGUAGGGUAAACAAGUUGAAUAUUACAAAUGUUGGUGUCAUUGGCACGCUCUAUGAUUUUCCAUUUUCGUCCCUCCCUUUUCUUGAAUAUGUUGAUAUUAGCAUGAACCAGCUCUCUGGCACUAUCCCACCUGAAAUAGGCAAACUCACUAAUCUUGUCUAUCUUGACUUGUCGACUAAUCAGAUUUCAGGCACAAUCCCGCCACAAAUUGGCGCACUUGUCAAUCUUGUUGAAGCUCGUCUUCAGAAAAACCAAUUAACAGAUCAUAUUCCUCUAGAAAUAGGUAACUUGAUCAAUGCAAAAAAUUUCUAUGCUUUCUCCAAUGAAUUGUCUGGUCCUAUUCCUGCUGAAAUAGGAAAAAUGAAGUCACUUGAGCAUUUAUUGUUAUAUAGAAACAAUCUUUCUGGUCCAAUCCCAAACAGUAUAGGUGAUUUAAUUGAGCUCAAACUUUUGUACCUUUAUGUUAACAAACUUUCUGGCUCCAUUCCUAGUGAGUUGGGAAAUCUGGAAAACCUCAUGGAUCUGGAAUUAUCGCGUAAUCAACUUGCUGGUCCAAUUCCUGCUUCAUUUGGCAAUUUGAGAAACUUGCAAUUUCUGUUUCUUCAUGUUAAUAGACUUUCUGGCUCCAUUCCUGCAGAAAUA
rnacentral:lncRNA from 1 species